CAAAUGAUUAUUAACUAUUGUGUACACUGGAUAUAAUGUGGUCCUGUUUACAUUAUACAGGCCGCCUGUAAGGACACAGACCUGAAUCGAUGGCGAGCUAAGAUACUGGCCUGAUCUGAGCAAUUCAAGUUAAAAGCCUCUCCUGGUCUGGUAGGAGGCUUUGGCAGCCUUGUUCCCCCCUCACCUUCUUUUACACCCCCACACAUACGCACUUGCACUUUACAACCAUGGACCAUUAACAUCUCGGACUCUGCCUUUGCAAGACACAUGUUGGACACUGAUCAUCCAUGAACUUUGUGCGUUAUACAUAGUGUGUGUGUUAAGCUACUGCCGUGUCACUUACACCUAAGACUGGAUUGUUAGUUCUUUUUCCAUGAUUGUGAUGAUGCAUCUGAAAGAUCGAGUGUUUUUCUUAUUUAGUUUAUUAUUCUGCAGAUUGUAAAUAUUGGGUUUUCACUGUACAUAAUUGUCACUCAAUAUAUGGUACCAAUUGCAACUGAAGUGCUGUGUGUGUUGUGCGUUAUUGUACCACUAUCCUCUAAGAGUCGAACCUGUCUUCUUGAGACCUAGGUCCAAACACUUAUCUAGCUGGUGUACUUGCUACAUAGUGUAACUAGCUCUAUGACGACAGCUGGUCACCCUCCUCUAUCCUGGAGGUCUCCUCAUCAGUGAGCUUUGAGGAUGCAAACACCAUUUGUCAUUCAGUUUCUGCAGCCUGGAUGUCUUGGGCUGCACCAGAGCAAGGCCACAAAAGCCCUUGUUUCUAACAUCCACACUGCAGCAGCUUGGCCACUACUAGGCCAUGUAUAAUAAUACUUGAGAGAUUAAGAGUGGCCCCUUUGUCAUACCACACACAUAAAGCACACACACACAAGCACUCAUACACUCCUAUACAGCUGCAUGUACCUGCAACACCCUUUGCACUCUCAUCUGCAUAUCCCUUGCUCUGCACUAUAAAUUCCACUAGAAACAGGCACUUAUACUUUCAUAAAUCUCCUCCUUGUCACUUUCAAAUUGCAGAGAUUUAUUCACAGAAGAACAGACCUGAACAGAGCCGAGCCAACAAGAAGACGUAGAGGAGGAAAAACACACUCGUUAUUACUCCACACAGCAGUGUGAGGGGAUUUGGAGCGAUCGUGGGCUGUAAAGUGGAAGAAGGU